GGGGGGCGGGUCCUUGCGAACUGUCCAAUCAGGGGAGCAGCAGGGGCAGGUGGGUGGGGCCACGCUCCGCAAAACAUGCGGACGCUCGUGGCCGCGCUCCGACGGUGUCUCGCCUGCGCUUGGGGCUCAGGUGUCUGUGCUGCCGCGUCGGUCCCUUGGGACCAGCCGUGGCCGCCGGAGGAGUGGGGGCGACGCUGGCGGACCCAGAACCCGGGAAACGCCGGAUUUGGCCUGUUCAUAAAUCUGGAAGGAAUGAACGGCACCUCACAGUGGAUCACUGCAACCUGGAGGCUGCGGUCGCGCCAAACACAGCCCUAGACCCAGUCCCCAACAGUAUGGAAAGCACUGACUCCGUCCAGUCAGCAGCUGGUAAACAUUCUGCUCGCACAGACUCAGCUGAGUCUGUUCUGUUCAGAGCCUGUGUCCACAGCCUCUUAGCUGCACUGGGCCUUCCCCUUUGAGGGGACAUGAUGCCCCUUUACUGGGUUGUCCUCAUGGAUCUUCCACAGCUGUGCCCUCUCACAGCCACUGCAGGCGGGGUCUGAACUGCACCCACCUUGCCCCAGGAGCACAGUGUAACAUGACCCUAACGACAUCCUCCUCCAAGGACGUUCGGUUGACCUUCAUUCAGGACAAACAAAUAUUGAAGAGAGGAGCUCACGAAAAGCAGAUGGGCCAUUCCCCACACAUAAUGUGAGGCCUUGACACCUUGGUUGAAUUCCUAAAAACUAUUUGGUAAGCCAGGGGCUGCUCCUCCCUGAUAAUGGGAAGAAAUAGCUAUUGUCCUCAUAGCACACCCGUUUCUGCAGGUUCUCUUGAUGUUUGGGAGGCAAUAUAUUUCUUGUUUACAGGUUUUCCUUGAGCCCGUUUAUGCUGUUAUGUGCAAAUUUGCCACCCUGAGUGGGCACCCCUACCACAGAAGGCUGGAGACUCUCUUCAAAUUGUCCUACAGCCAACACUCCUGUUAGUGUCCUUGGAGAUUCCUUCCCUACGGAGGCCUCAGUGACCUUCUGUCAUGUCUUCUGGGGUACCCUUGAUGGCCUUAAGUUGCCUGUAGGCUUCUGAUGCAAGAACCUGCCCCAGCCCCCCACUGUGUGCCAUUGGAGCUGCAGUCACCACCACAUACUGGUCUCUCCUGAUGAUAGAGGCUCUCCGAGGCCCUGAGCAUGGGACCCAUGGGACCCUCCACUCAGCUGCCCGUUAUGCUUUGGGCUCUGGAAACAGCACCCCAUGAGCUCAGCACGGCUCCUAAGACCUCCUUGAGACACGAUGGAGCCAAACCUGGGCUCUCUGGGAUAUCCUACCUGCAGGAGCGGGUGCCCUUCCAUCCUGUCAGUUCCUUGCCACGUGCCAUUGUUCUGGAAGAGGUCACCCCUCUCCCAGACCCCUUGGCUCCCAGGGAAGUGUCUUGGUUUAACGCAGUGAACUGCAACAUGAGUUUGCAACAUUUGUACAAGAUGGAGCCCAGUGGAGAGUUACUGCUUUUCAUCUCUUAAUUGAGACAACCUUCAUAAAGAAGGGGACCCCAACAUAACUGAAACAUCCCAAACUAACCACACAUCAGGCGGUUAUAUUAUUUUAAAAGUUCUUUAAGAAGUUUAUCCCCUCCUCACCAGCAGAUUGGCUCACCCACAUCCAGGGAGAGAAAGGCGUGCGGGUCCCGUGAUGUUGAGGGUAGGGUCCGUCGGAAGCGGGUGGAGCCUAGCUCAGAUACCCAUCUGACAAGAUCAGAGCAGCAGGAGAAUGGACACUGCAGUACAGAGAGAUGGAAGGACCUCAAAUUUGAUUGACGAUGCUUGGCAAGAAGACAAGCUGCCAUCUCGAGGGUGUUGCAAUACCACUGAGCAGGACAAGAGGUGGCACCACAGAAUCUGUUAGAGAAUGAGAAAUGAAGUGGACAGGUUACCUACAGCUUCUGUCGGAUCUGGCUACAAAUCAAAGGUUUUCAUGACCUCCUCCCCCUGGGAUUCAGUUAUUUGCUAGAGCAGCUCUCGGAACCCAGGGAAACACUUAUGUUUCUCAGUUUAUUAAGGGAUAUGAUAAAGGCUACAGAGGAAUAGCCACAUGAAGAGAUGCAUAGGGCAAGGUCUGGGGGGUCCCAGGUGCAGGAGCCUCUGUCCCUGUGGAGUAAGGGCACGUCACCCUCCUGGUACAGGGAUGUGUUCACUGA
rnacentral:lncRNA from 1 species